rnacentral:rRNA from 1 species
UACGUAGGGGGCAAGCGUUGUCCGGAAUGACUGGGCGUAAAGGGAGCGUAGGUGGCGUAUUAAGUUAAAUGUGAAAGCCCGGGGCUCAACUCCGGAAUGUCAUUUAAUACUGGUAUGCUUGAGUGCAGGAGAGGUAAGCGGAAUUCCUAGUGUAGCGGUUAAAUGCGUAGAUAUUAGGAAGAACACCAGAGGCGAAGGCGGCUUGCUGGAAUGUAACUGACACUGAGGCUCGAAAGCGCGGGUAUCAAAC